rnacentral:rRNA from 1 species
UACGUAGGGUGCAAGCGUUAAUCGGAAUUACUGGGCGUAAAGCGUGCGCAGGCGGUGAUGUAAGACAGGUGUGAAAUCCCCGGGCUUAACCUGGGAACUGCAUUUGUGACUGCAUCGCUGGAGUGCGGCAGAGGGGGAUGGAAUUCCACGUGUAGCAGUGAAAUGCGUAGAGAUGUGGAGGAAUACCGAUGGCGAAGGCAGCCUCCUGGGCCAACACUGACGCUCAUGCACGAAAGCGUGGGGAGCAAACAGG